GGGCAAGCCGACCGUGAGCCAGGAAGUGCUCUUGGGGAGCCCAGGCCAAGCCAUCCAUUCUUGGGUCCUUUGGAGGGUAGAUAUGGAUUCCCAGUUACCCCAGCGGCCAGUGCUCCCCCUAGUCCACACAGUGAGACCGUGAAAGCAGAUGCUCCAGGGGACUCCUGCACAGCUUUUGCUCGGUGGAUGAUGGGUGACUACAGACUCUCUGACCACCCCCAGCCCAUGGAAAUUCUCAACCUGUACUUGGGAGACAGCCUGGAGCUCCACCCAGGAGAGUGCCCGAGGGAAACGUGCAGCCAUGAGGAUCCACCGGAGCCUUUCGAGGAGCAAACCUGGGCCACUGACCCUCCUGAACCUACCAGACAAAAUGUUCCUCCCUGGGGCUCCGGUGUGGAGCUCACACACCUGGGGAGCUGGGUCCAUCAGGACGGGCCGGAGCCUUGCGAAGAGCAAACCUGGGCCACCGACCCUCCUGAAUCUACCAGACAAGAUGCUCCUCCCUGGGGCUCCGGUGUGGAGCUCACACACCUGGGGAGCUGCUCUGCCCAGGGGGAGCACAGGCAGAGCACAGCAUCACCAGGGUCACAAGUGAACAGCCAUCUACCGGGGAGCCCACAGCAGAACCGGAGCACGUCCACGCAGGUAGUGUUCUGGGCAGGCAUCCUGCAGGCCCAGAUGUGUGUCCUAGACCUGGAGGAGGAGCUGGAGAAGACGGAAGGGCUCAAGGCUGGGCUGAAAUGCUGUCUCCCCACGCCCCCUGUGGACCUCCCCGGGGACACGGGCCUGCACUCCAGCCCACCUGAGAAUGAAGACUCAGGGGAAGACAGCAGCGAGCCUGAGGGGGAGGGCCAGGCAUGGCUGAGAGAGGGAACCCCGGACUCUUCCCCACAGUGGGGAGCUGAGGAGGAGAGCAUGUUCUUCAGCAACCCCCUCUUCCUGGGGAGUCCUUGCUCAGAGAACAGUGCUUCUGGAGAGUGCUUUUCCUGGGGGGCUUCAGACUCCCAUGCAGGUGUGAGGACUGGACCUGAGAGCCCAGCUACUCUGGAGCCUCCCCUCCCAGAAGACACAGUGCUGUGGGAGCUGGAAAGUGAGCCAGAUUUGGGGGAUGGCGCUGCUAUCAGUGGGCAUCGCACCCCUCCAUUCCCUGUGCCCGUCUAUAAACCACACUCCAUUGUCUGGGCCUCAGUGGCUGCCGCUGAGGGGGCUCCUGCAACACCUCCUGGUCACGGAGAGAGUGAGGGAGAUAGGCUUGGUCCUGCUCCAUCUGCAGCACCGUGUGUGGACGAAGCAUUGACCUGGGAAUCAGGAUGUGUUGGAUCUGAUCUUGGCCCUGCUGCACAUCCUGUGCAACCUUGGGCCUCUCUCAGCCCUGAGAGCUGGCAGAGAGGAGGUCCUUUUUGGCCCCAGGUGACUCUUAACUCCCAGGACAGAGGUGAGCCCUAAUAAGGGGGUUUGGGAAAUUGGGUCCUGGGAGGAUUUGGAAUUUGGAGUGGGGACAAAGAUCAUUCUUGGAUCCAUGGUUGCCAUUAAUGAGUCCCAUUAUAUUGUGUUUAAGCCAGACAGACUUGGGGUUAAAUCCUGCCUCUUUAAAAUUAAAUGAAGGAAACAUACAAAAGGCCCAGCAUUUCUUACCUCUGGGUCUUAAUGGUUUAGCAAAGGUCCUGAGCCCUUAGUUGCCUGGAGGCUUGAGUCCUGGGAGCCCGCUGUCUGCUGCCUCUGCAAGUGGGAGAGGUCACUGCCUGAGGGAGGACAGGGCAUGCUGCCAGGCUCCCGGGGAGGAGCCCCAGGGAGGGAGCCUCUGGAGGUGGUGCCCAAGCCGUUCUCCUGCCUCCUGCCCUGUGCCCGCCUCACUUCAUGUUCUUCCUCAGAUGAGAGGGAGGCUGGGUACCCCCAGGAAUCUCUUCCCUGCACCUUGGCCCCCUGCCCCUGGAGGAGCCCAGCUUCUUCUCCAGAGCCUAGCAGCCCAGAAUCUGAGAGCAGAGGCCCUGGUCCCAGGCCCAGUCCUGCAUCGUCCCAGGAGGGCAGCCCGCAGCUUCAACACCACAGCUCAGGCAUUUUGCCCAAGUGGACACUAGACGCUUCACAGUCUUCACUCUUGGAGACGGAUGGGGAAGAGCCAAGUUCCUUGAAGAAAGAGGAGGCAGGGGAGGCCCCAAAACCAGGCGAGGAAGUAAAGAGUGAAGGAACAGCCAGGCCUGCAGAGACUGGAGACGUCCAGCCUGACAUUCGCCUGACUUCUGCAGAACAUGAGAAUCUGAGGACACCGAUGAACUCUUCUAGGCUUCCUGGGAGCCCUAUGCCCCAAGCACGGUCCCCAGAGGAAGGCCAGAGACCACCAACUGGAGACAAGCUAGCUAAUGGCGUCAGGAACAACAAGGUAGCCUGGAACUUGGCCUCACGCCUCUAUCGCCUGGAGGGCUUCCGGAAGUCUGAAGUGGCUGCCUACCUGCAGAAGAACAAUGACUUUAGCAGGGCUGUGGCUGAGGAGUACUUGUCCUUCUUCCAGUUUGGAGGCCAGAGCCUGGACCGAGCCCUCCGGAGCUUCCUCCAGGCCUUGGUGCUCAGUGGGGAGACUCAGGAACGGGAGCGAAUCCUCUACCAGUUCUCCAGACGCUUCCACCAUUGCAAUCCGGGGGUCUUCCCCUCAGUAGAUUCUGUACACACCUUGACAUGUGCAAUCAUGCUCCUUAACACGGACCUGCAUGGACAGAACAUUGGGAAGAGCAUGAGCUGCCAGGAAUUCAUAACCAACCUGAAUGGGCUUAGGGAUGGCGGGAACUUCCCCAAGGAGCUGCUGAAGGCCCUUUACUGGUCUAUCCGCAGCGAGAAGCUCGAGUGGGCCGUGGAUGAAGAAGACGCAGCCAGACCUGAGAAGGUCCAGCCGUCCCUGCCAGCUGGCAAGAUGAGCAAGCCCUUCCUUCAGCUGGCUCAGGAUCCCACGGUGCCCACCUACAAGCAGGGCAUCCUGGCUCGGAAGAUGCAUCAAGAUGCAGACGGCAAGAAGACGCCAUGGGGCAAGCGUGGCUGGAAGAUGUUCCACACCUUACUGCGAGGGAUGGUUCUCUACUUCCUGAAGGGAGAAGACCACUGCCUGGAGGGGGAGAGCUUGGUGGGGCAGAUGGUGGAUGAGCCCGUGGGGGUGCACCACUCGCUGGCCACCCCUGCCACCGAUUACACCAAGAAGCCGCACGUCUUCCAACUGCGCACGGCUGACUGGCGCCUCUACCUCUUCCAGGCACCCACUGCCAAGGAGAUGAGCUCCUGGAUCGCGCGCAUCAACUUGGCUGCGGCCACGCACUCCGCGCCGCCCUUCCCCGCCGCUGUGGGCUCCCAGCGCAGAUUCGUGCGGCCCAUCCUGCCCGUGGGACCCGCCCAGAGCUCCCUGGAGGAGCAGCAUCGAUCCCACGAGAACUGCCUGGACGCUGCCUCGGACGACCUGCUGGAUCUGCAGAGGAACUUACCGGAGCGGCGGGGCCGUAGCCGCGAGCUGGAAGAGUAUCGCCUGCGGAAGGAGUAUCUGGAGUACGAGAAAACCCGCUACGAGACCUACGUGCAGCUGCUGGUGGCCCGCCUGCACUGCCCCUCUGAUGCUCUGGACCUGUGGGAGGAGCAGCUGGGGAGGGAAGCUGGAGGCGCUCGGGAGCCCAAGCUCAGCCUGAAGAAGUCCCACUCGAGCCCGUCCCUGCACCAGGAUGAGGCUCCCACCACGGCCAAGGUGAAGCGCAACAUCUCAGAGCGCAGAACCUACCGGAAGAUCAUCCCCAAGCGGAACCGCAAUCAGCUGUGAAGCCAGCACCACCUCAGAGACACUGCCCCCUGCUCCAGGGUAGACCUGGGAUGAACCUCCCUGGAGGAGACUUAUUUCAAUGAGUCCACCGUGAUGGAUGAGGCACCUCCUUUCCCUGCUGAAGAACAAACCUCGUUUCCCUGUGGCCCUCAUUCUUGUGUCCACUGAAGCUUUCCUAAUACUGCUGUACUCCCCCCCCACCCCCAUGGCAGUCCCUCCGCAGCCCCAUCCCUGGCCACACCCAAGGGAAGAGGGAGGUUGAGGACUUGACUUUCCUGCCAGAGCUCAUCCCAUGUCACCCUCCAGGCCCCAGAAUCCAGAGUGGCCUCAUUUCCUAGACCUGGGAGCUCAGCACUUGUUUGAGAACCAGUGCAUAUGUGGUGUGGCCUUGAAUUCUGGGGGAGAGCUUGGGGCAGCAGAGGCCCCUGGGCAGCCCAGCCAAGGGAGCCACAGCCCCGAGGAUGGUCUUGCUCUGGGAAGUAGGUGACCUUCCUGGGGAGGCCCCAGGAGAGUGAAUCAGGGACUCUUGAGAAAUUCCUAACCAGCCUCCUGUGACCCAGGGAGCAGGGUCGCUAAGGUCCUGCCCACCGAGGGGACAGCCUUCUGGGCAGGGACCUCGGGGGUCUUCAAGGGCUCCGCACGGCUGUGGGGCCCUGUGCCUUUGUCUCCUUGUGUAUCUUUUCCCCCUACAGUCUUCCUUUCCCCCGAAGCAGAUGAAACAGUCUCACAUAUCCAGCUGCUCAUCAACAGAGCAGAGCUGAGGCAUGAGUGAGGGCUGGGAGGGGUGGGGCCUCCAGAGCUUUGCAGGGAACCCUGGAACCCUGGGAACAAAGAGUCUUUGUUCCAACACAGCAGGGAAGGAGGUUCUCUAGGUUCAGACCACUGGAGAGGAUAGAGAGGUGAAAGGUGGCGACAGUUUCCCUUAGGGGUCUGCCUGGCAGGAGCCACAGGUCAGGAGAGUUGUGAGGGAUGGGAUGGAGGCUGGCGACCAGGUAAGGCCUAGGCCACGCUCGGAAGACUCUACUGUGCUCCUUCCUACACACGCCUUAAAGCUUCCUUCCUGUGGGAUGCCUGGACCCCUUCCCCAUCUCUGGCAGGUCAGAGGGUCUCUGCUGCUCUUCCCUGGGAAAUCCCCUCGUCCUGCCCUCUGGCUGCCUCCCAACUGGGCUUGUUCUCUGAGGGAGGUUCCAGAGACUCAUGGACUUGGGGCUCUGCCUGUAGGAAGGAGGCUGGGCCAGAGGGAGCAGCCACCAUUGUCUCUGUUCAGCCAAGUGUGCAAGUAGGCUGCCCGCCAAGAGGGGGCCUCUGCUACCCGCUGCUGCCUGCCGGCUGACGCACUGCCUCCCCAGCCUUCCUGCUAGGCCACCCUCCUCCCUUCCCAUGCUUGUAACCAGCUCUGGGGCCUGGACCUCCACAAAGUGGCUGGCCCUUGGAGGCCACAUUUGGGUCUCCGGCCAGGGCCUGGGGCUAGGCCAUGCACCCAAUGGGUGCACAAUAAAUACAGGUCAACAAAGACGAAGGUGUGUCAGUGUGUGAGGAAGGGAGGUCAGGCAGCUAGGACCACCUGCAGUGUGGCAGGCUUCAUCCCUCUUUGCUCCAAGUGUGUAUGUAUGUCUGUGCAUGUGUGUAGUGGCUGUGUCUGUGUGUUCAUGCAUAUGCAGGAGUCACAUGGUCAUAGGCCGUCAAAGCUGGAGGAGACCUCAGAAUCAUUCAUUCACCUACUUGCUCAUUUAUUCAUUCAUUCAUUUUGCAAAUAAUAUGGGACGCUUUCUAUGUGCCAGUACCAGGGGAUUCACAAAUGAAUUAAACAUGUCCCUGACUCC
rnacentral:sRNA from 1 species